UAACCACAUGCCUUUCUUGGCCUCCCGACUCUCACCCCAGAGGGUUUUUUUUGUAUAGGAACCAACAGUGCCUUGGAUGGAAACUCUGGAUAGGCUAGUCAUUAUUUUAAGAUUUAGGAGAUUGUGGAUUCUUGGCAGACCUGGGUUGUUUUUCUAGAGUAGUAGGCAAGUAGUUGGACAAAAAGCAAGAAGCCGAUCUACGCCGCUGGCUUUGGGUUCUUCGUGAACAAAUGAGACAAGGUUGGUGGGUGUCUGAGUCUACCAUGAAGAACAGUAGAAGAUCCCCAGGCCUUGUCAAGCCUGUUCAACACCUAUGGGCAGCUGACCAGAGGCCUUGACAGUGUCCACUGAUUUGGUGUAAGAAGAUGAUCUGGACCACGCUGACGACCCCCUUCCUCCUCCCAGG